rnacentral:lncRNA from 1 species
UUCAUUGUUUACUUUCGGAAGACAAGUACUACUCUUUUGUAAGUUUAUUGAUUCUCGUUUACGCUUGCGUAGCUGAUUGUCCAUCCGUUUUCCUAUGUAAAACAUUGUAAAUCCAUCCAUUAAAACCUAUAACAUUUUAAAAAAAAAAAAUUACUUAUUUCAUUCUAUUUCUUUUACCAAAUUUUACUUUCCUAUUUAAACAAUAUACUUUAUUGCUGCGUUUUAAGCUUUUUCUUUUUCAUUCUCUUCAUAUGAAUAUCAUAUAAACACAUGUUAAUUCUUUCCUCCUUCGGUCAGCAUAUCCCCACACAGCUUAUUAGAUUAUACCCUUCAAUUAAUAAAUUCUUCUAUAUUAAAAAAUUAUACCAAUGGUUUAACUCGCAAUUCUAAAGGAUAUGUGGUAAUUUGGUAAGACGUACCUGUUACGGGUAGGUUUCUUUGAAUUAGAAAUCUCCUUACAUAGUCUCGUUAGUUGAGAUUGUUUCUUUGUGAGAAUAAAUUGAUCUGUUUAAAAUGCCGACUUCAAAAAGACAUAAGACAAUUGGGAAAACUUUCAAACUAAUUAAGAAAUUACCUUAUAGAAAGAGAAUUUAAUCACGAUUCUAAAGGUAUCCAUAGAUUUGAAACACGGUAAAUAACACAACAGUAAUAAGAAAAUUCGUACCAUUAGUUUUCUUUAAGCUGCAGGUGAAAAUUUCUUUAACUACAUUUUUGUUCUGGGCGUUGAUUGAGGCUGAUCCUUCGUUGAUUGAGCUGAUUCUUCGUUGAAAUUAUACUAUUUAGUGCUGGUGCUUGGGCGGUCAAUUCGUAAUUUUGGAUUUAAGAAAGAGAUUCAGAGAAAGCCGACCAACUUCCAGUCUCACCACACCAUCAAUUUUUUCAUUAAAAGGGGAUACCAAUUGAAUGCCCAAUUGCCUGAGCU